UACGGAAGGCAGCAGUGGGGAAUAUUGCACAAUGGGCGAAAGCCUGAUGCAGCUAUGCCUCGUGUAUGAAGAAGGCCUUAGGGUUGUAAAGUACUUUCAUCGGGGAGGAAAAACAAAACUAAUAAUUUUAUUUCUUGACGUUACCCGAAAAAGAAGCACCGGCUAACUCCGUGCCAGCAGCCGCGGUAAUACGGAGGGUGCUAGCGUUAAUCAGAAUUACUGGGCGUAAAGAGCACGUAGGUGGUUUUUUUAAGUCAGAUGUGAAAUCCCUGGGCUUAACCUAGGAACUGCAUUUUGAAACUGAAAUACUAGAGUAUCGUAGAGGGAGGUAGAAUUCUAGGUGUAGCGGUGAAAUGCGUAGAUAUCUGGAGGAAUACCUGUGGCGAAAGCGGCCUCCUAAACGAAUACUGACACUGAGGGUGCGAAAGCGUGGGGAGCAAACAGGGAUUAGAUACC
rnacentral:rRNA from 1 species